rnacentral:rRNA from 1 species
UACGAAGGGGGCUAGCGUUGCUCGGAAUCACUGGGCGUAAAGCGCACGUAGGCGGCUUUCUAAGUCAGGGGUGAAAUCCUGGAGCUCAACUCCAGAACUGCCUUUGAUACUGGAGAGCUCGAGUCCGGAAGAGGUGAGUGGAACUGCGAGUGUAGAGGUGAAAUUCGUAGAUAUCGCAAGAACACCAGUGGCGAAGGCGGGUCUCUGGGCCAAAACUGACGCUGAGGAGCGAAGCGUGGGGAGCGAACAGGAUAGAACCC